rnacentral:lncRNA from 1 species
UUGUGAGUAACGUCUUUUUUCUCUCUUGAUUCAUUAUCAAUCGCCACGUCAUACUUUUGUCUACAGCCUGAGCCGUACAGUUUCGAGUACGAGUGAAAGACGCAGCAACAGGGACAGAGUUCUCCCGGAAGGAAGAAUCGGAUGGUACGAAGGUGAUGGGCGAGUACAAAGUUUUGCUGCCGGACAGCCGGACUCAGAUCGUCACGUACAUGGCGGACGAGAACGGCUACAUGGCUGACGUCAAAUACGAAGGGGAGGCCAUUCCCGGACCACCCGGUCCUGCGGGAGGGGGUGGUGGAGGUCCCCCUGGAGGUGGUGGAGCCCCACCCGGAGCUGGAGCAUACCCCGCGGGCGGAGGCCCAGAGGCUGGAUAUCCAUCAGGAGGCCCAGGAUUCGGUCCACAAGGAACUGGCUAUCGAAGAUAGGAACAUCAUUAGGGUAAAAUUUUCGUUGCAAAUCAUUACAAUCACCAAUGGCGUUGAAAUAUCUUUCAUCUUUUGUAAAUCUUGUGAAUACCAAAGCUCGAGGACAAUGUGGUCGAAUAACAACAAUAUAAAACACUCCCAAAUAAGUAUUUUUCUCUUUAUUUUUCCCCCGAUGUAUGAUUUUAGGAGCAAAAUAAUAAUAAGUAAAUGAGUUUUUACAAUCUCACGCCUCAUUUAAAUACACCUGAAAAUUAAGACUGAACCCUCACAGGGAAAGGCAAACAAGAAAAAAGACCCUUUUUGGGUCCCCUUACUGCCGUGUUUUUCAUAAUGGCUGCCAAUAUUUAUGCUUCCCCGCAACUUGCUUACUUAUAAAAUUUUAGAUUAUUACUCCUUUAAUUAAACAUAUUUGACAAUGAUCAAGUGCAAGAAAAUAUUAAUCUAAUGAAUAUGAAUAAAUGUCAUUUAUGGUACACGAAAGCAAGCCCACGCUAUUAAGGUUUUAAUUAUAGACUUCUUACUUUGCAAAAAAGAAAAAAAAACCUGACGAAUUCACACUAAAAAUUGAAUUUUUACCGUAGUUAACAAUUACCUUUAACGGUGAGAUCAUUUUGCAAAUCAUAUCAUGUGCUACAACGAUUCACUGCUAGAGAUGUUUCAUGAGGUAUAGAGGGGGACAGAGAGAGGAAAAUUAAAAUAAUUGAAGCUUAGAUUAAAUGAAUGUUAAUAAAAAUAAAUGGAAGUAUGCAUAGGAUGGAUAGAAAUUUAUUUUCAAAAUUAAUAAAACUUACUGCAAAAGAACCUGCAAAAUAAUAUUUUGGAGUGAAAAUUUUGC